UUCACACUUUGAUCAUAUCCCUUUAUUACCUAGUUUUUAUGCAUUAGUUUCAACCCUCUAACAUUGCAUGAUUAGGGUUUGAUAAGAUGAGUACUUGGGAAGUAGUUGUUAUGGUAGGAACCUAUUGUCUUUUACCAACCCUGGGAUUAUACGUUAUGCUCAUACUCCUUUACUAUGCUCAUAGACGGGGAUUGGUAUGUGAGAUUCAUGAAAGUUGCGAGAGUAAUGUUAACUAAGGGAAACCUAAGGUGGCUACUUUAAUACACAUCUGGGUGGAUUGGUUGGGGCACCCUGGGGAUAUACCUGUGGCUUGCCCGGGCACCUGGGGAAUCCGGUGUUGUCCUAGGAGAUCCCGGGGUAUCCGCGUGAUCAUCCGAUGGAAUGCCACCCAGGAUCAAAGGGAUCAUAAGAUUAUUCAUGCUAGAAACUUCCGUGUGCAGCCACAAGCCAUUAUGGGCUCUGGCAUAGUUGAGUAAGUUGUGGGAAACCUUUCUAUAUGUUAAGGGGACCUCUUCAGAAAGACUGUGUCUCAAUCAUCCAUUUCUCAAACAUCACGCAGUGCGAGAAAUUCAACGGAGGAGAUCAAGUCUUGUGGGGAAAAGAGCGCAAACCUCUGCAGAGUGUACAAACAAAUCAUGAUUAGUCUGGUCCCCGGUUAUGGACAUCUUGAGUAUCUUGUAUUUGAAUUAUUGAUUUGAUCUCAGCACUUUACUUAAUGAAAUUGUUGGGUUAUAAUUAUUACUUUGGGAUUGAGUUGGAGGAACCUUAUGAUUUAAUGACAUAAACUUGGUAGUUAAAUAAAAUGUAUUGCUUUGUUGUAGGGAAAAAUUGGCUUUAUGCAAAUGUUAACCUUAGAGCCUCCACCAGCAAUAAAUGCUUGUAGUGAUAGCUAUUAUUCCUCAUUGCUCUAUGUUGUGAAUUUGCCAGUACAUUCAAUGUACUGACCUACAUGGCUGCAACGUCUCAUGUUGCAGGAAUCUUACGACGAGUAAGUGAUACGUUAGGGUUACGAUGUCUACACUCAACUUUGCCGUUGGUGUUGUUGGGACUCCACAACUUUGUUGUUACUUCCGCUAUAUGGAUUGAGGUAAUAGUAUUUACGUUAGUUUAUACCUGUGAUUUACCUUUGUUAUAAAUCCUCGAGUACUGUGUGUGUCAGCAUACCAAUCCAUGUGUGACACUGAAGCACAGAGACCUGAUCCAUUUGGGUCGGGUCGCUACAAGAUGGUAUCAGAGCACAUGUUGACUGUAGGACGUGACCCCUAGAAACUGGCAAGCCCAUAGGAAAGAUUUUCUCUAAAACUUUAUUUUCAAAAAGAUCUUUUACCUCUCUUCUUUUCUAAGCUUUAUCAAAUAUUCCCUUUUUAGUUAGACUAUACCCCUUUCCCAUUUUGACCACACGAAGAUUCGACUGAUGAGACCACUCCGAGAAGAUAUCGGACAACUAAGACCACUUUAGAAUGAAGAUGGUUUUACCGAGCAUUAUAAUAAUGGAAACUACAAUGGUUGAAGACUCUGAAUACUAGGAGAAUUUGAAGGCUCUGAUUGAUAUGACCAUGAAAGGCUACCCUUAUGGAACUUGUCAGACUAUGGAAGCUGUCAAUACCCGAGAUCAAGGUGUGUCCGAGAAAGACCGGAACAUGGAGCGUUAAAACUCAAAGUUUUUGUCAAGAAAUCCCUAAGGCUACCCAUGAUGUUAUCGCCUGCCUAUGCUAUUGUCACCAUGCUGAGCUAAGCAGGCAUUUCAUCGGAAGGAUUGGAUGACAAAAGGGCGAAUGGGCAUCUAGCAGCAAAAGAUGAAGUUUUAACCUUAGCUGGUGUAUCACCAGGAUCUGGAGUAUUACAUCCAGAAUUUUAAGAUGGACCUUCAGGAAGCCGUAUUUGACAAGGAAGUAUUUCGUGAAGAACUCAGGACCCAGAAGCUGAAAGUAGCCAAAUUGGAGGAGCAAAACCUUGUGAUACCGGAGAUUUGUCAGGAACUGAAGGACAGUAGGACCAUGGUUCAUGCCAAGGAUAUUGAAACCCAGAAGUUUGGAACGCAACUCCAGAAAUAUUAAAGCACGUCACGAGAGACUUCGCGUCAACAGAGAUGAUCUGGCAAAAGAACUUGAGAAGGACAAGCACGAUCGGAAGAAUCCAUCGGAGACAUGAAUAAGAUGAGAAGAGUUUGAUGACUUUGAAGAUUUAUUGACCUUUAGAAGACAAACCACUGUUACAUACUUACGUUAGAUGCAACGUUUGUGAGCUGUCAUUUGUUUGAUGUUUUUUUGACAGCCGCAAAAUAAAAAAAAUGUCUCUUAAAAAAACUAUUAUUUGUAUUGCGUGUAUCCCUCUCUAUCUCUCUUAUCCCACCCCAAACCCUUGGAACCAAUAGAUGAUGAAUGGAGAUGAACUCAUUGUCUGGACCAAUGACUCAAUUGGAGACGAACCGAUGGAUUCAGAACAUGGAAGAUCACAUGAAGAAUAACACUAUAGACGAAAAGGAUAUGGCCCAGCAUGCUCUUUAGUGCUUUAAAAGAGGUGCUGCUACUUGGUGGAGGAAGUACCAAACCAUCAAUGGAUGGCAAAGAGUAACCACUUGGGAGGAAUUUAAGUUGACUCUGUUAAAGUCUCAGCUUGUGUCCCAGAAGUUAAAGAAUAAUGGAAAUGAUAUGAAGAAACCCGGUGCAUGCAAGCUCUGUGGAGAAAUAUGACACCACCAUAAAAACACAAGGAUGAAUGCUCUCAUUGUGAAGAACAUCACCCAGAGGAAGAAUGCCCCAUUAGGCAGGUGACUUGUUUCUUGUCUGAAGGGACUACCCACUACCCUGCUCAGUGUCAGAUUUACCCCAUGGUUCAAAAAACCAUCCAACAGAAGAAAGAAGCAAUGAAAGGAGCCCUCACGGAAAUAUUAGAAGAACCUAUGAUGAAGGAAGAGGUGGAGGACACACCCGAAGAAGACCCAAUUAAACCCUGCACCAAGUCAUGUUAUUCAUGUGGAGAAGGACACAUCUCCCAGAAUUGUCUAAAGGGGGAUCUAGUAGCAUUCCCGACAGUGGAAGUAGAGUAUGACCCACAGGAAAUAGGAGCCCCAAUUGGCACGAAAAAGUCCAAGAAGAGAAAUAGAUUAGAUUCUAGGAACAACCCAAUUUCUACAAAGAAGGACCUGAGUCAUAUCACAUGUUUCAGGUGCAAAGAUUCAGGGCACUACUUUAGCGGUUGCCCAAAAAGGAAGCCGAGGACCCAAGGAGGCUAUGUAAUCACCAGGAAACAUCAAGACUGGUCAGAAGUAAUAUUUUUUCGUUGCAAUGAAGCAGGGCACUUUGCCAGGGAUUGUCCCAAAGAGAAGGAGGCUUGUGCUAAAUAGUUGAGUUUUCAACAAAAAAUAUAGUAGUAGUAGUGGGAACAUUUCUUUUAUACUGAGGUGUUGAGUUGAGGAAUGUAAUGGAAAUACAUGAGAUUGUAAUAAUUUGAGAAUCAAUAAAGUUAUCAUUGGUUCUGAUUUGGAUUUUAUGAGUAGUUACUCUAUGAAGAAAGAUUUUGACCAUUUUCGAGGAUAUGAGAAAUAUGGUCUAUGGAUAAAUUUGUGCAUUUCAAGGGUGGUAGUACCCAGUGAGGACACUUGACCCCUGAAAAGAUAAUGAUAUUCCACGAAUGUGGACUACGGACAAAAUAAGCAUGAGUUUUAUCUCGAUAUGUGGGAUACCCAAGAAUAUGAAGGGAUGCACUAUUGGAUAUAAAGGAGGUAUAAUGUUGGUAAUAUGGAGCAAUUGUAACUCCAUGAUGAGUCUGAGUAAUCACGUCUCAGUUUGGUACCAAUACAAGGAAGGGAGACAGUACAAUUGGAUGGAUUUAAGAAUGCUAGGAAGUUGGAAGUUUCAAUAAUGAUCAGUUGCCCCCGAUGAUGAUUUCAAGGUUUACAAGUGAUGAGAUGGGCCAUAACCCACAGGCUCCAGGACCUGCGAAGAAGCAAGCACACUCUUGUUGAAGGAACAACCCUAGAAGAAGAUACGACUUUAUCCACAAAUGAUCUUAUAGGAGUUUAUGCUAAACCUGAGAGUUGUGAAGGAACGACAGAUGUUUGUUUGGCUUGCAGAAUCCAUGGAUGUAUUCGAACUUAGUUCGUCGACAAGAGAAAUUCUGCAAUGCUUGUGAGGAUGAUCGAGUGUUAGUAUGCGAGAUUCGCUAAACCAUAUACAAGGUAAUGAUUUGGGUGCGGGAUGGAUUGAUCACCAUACCGACUUACUCUUAUUAUUCGCCUCUGCUAUAUGGGAUGGUAAAUCUGAGUGACUUACCCAUAGUAGAGCGACGACGAUCAAAACCUUGUUUAAACCUUAGAAUGGCAUGACAAUUUUCCCUUGUACUAGGCAGCUGUUUCCAAUCGUAGGUCAUACGGUGAGAAUGAAGCCCAGACCAAAUUCCUGCAGGAGAAACCAUAAAUUGUUGACCACCAUGAAAUAUCGAUAGUUUUUUAGUAUUGGCGCCAGACCCGUCAACUAAGAAGACCCAGUCACAGGAGGACCGUACCCAGAUAAAAAGACAGAGGAAUUGAGGAAAAGGUUAUGCCACUACCGAAAGAGCCCAAAGAAGGUCCCCUAGAAUCUGAGAAGAUCGACACUGUCAAGAAUAAGGAUGGAGUAUAUGAGUUUUUUCGAUGGAACCGUAACCAUGCUUCUAAGGGUGGUAGCAUGCCAUACCCCCUGUGACGAUCGAUGGAUUUUGAUAAGACCCCUGAACCUAACCUAUUUCUUGCUAGCUUCUCUGAAUCUUGAGGGCGAGAUUCAUUUUAAGGGUGGUAGGUUUGUAACAUCCCAAAAUUCUAAAUUUUGGAAUGUUAUAUUAAAUAAAUAAUUUUGAUUGAUUGUAUGAUUGCUUGUGUGAAAUUGAGUGGAAUUUGAAACUUUUUGGAAGUUAAAUGAGAGGGAAUGAAAUGACUUUCCCAAACUUUCACUUUGCAUUAUGAUCUCCAUGAAUUCAAAUUCUUUUCAAAUACAAAACCCUAUGGAGAAGAUGACAUGACUUCCUCCAUUUAAAAUGAAAAGGGUUUUUGAAUACAAAACCCUAGACAGAAGAUGACAUGACUUCUUCCAUUUAAAAUGAAAAGGGUUUUUGAAAAUAUUGGAAUUACAUAUGGAAAUAUUCCAAAUUCAGAAACUUUAAGCAACUCAAUGAUUUUCAUGAGAGAAGAUAAAAUAACUUCUUCAAAAUAUAUGAAAUAUGAGUUGGAAGUUUCAAAGAAUCAAAUUUAAAGUCCCUUUGAAAUUAUUUUCAAUUUGGAGUUAUUUGGUUUUAUUCAAAGUAUUUUUCUCCAAAAAUAAAAUUUAUGGAAAAUAGGGUAAAAUGAUUCCCUACAGUAAAAAAAUGGAGAAAAUGAGUUUGAAGUUAUUUUUGUAUUUUAAAAUAAUUUUAUUUGGUUUUAAUUAAACCAGUAGCACUGUUUGCUUUAUGUAAAUUUUUGUGGAUUUUCUUUGACGCUAAAAAAAUGUUCAGGUUGUAGGAAAUCUUUUUUUGAAAAUUUUGAUAUAUCAUAUGCCUAUAGUAUAUUUUUAUUUGGUUUAUUUUAUUUCUAUUGUCUGCAAGAAUUAUUUAAAAAGCAAACUGGGACGGCCCAGCCCAGCCAGCGCGCUCCCGCCUCUGAGCGGGAGUCCCGCCCGACCACGGUCACCGCCGCCGUGCCCGGCGCGGAGUCUGCCGCCGCCUCGCCCUUUUCCACUUCCCCACUCCUCCCGAGGCCGCCCCUCCCAUCCUUAUAAGCCGCAGCCCCGCCGCCUCUUCUCUCUUCCCGCACUGGCCGCACUUCGCCGCCGCCGCCGAGCGCCGUUACAAGCCGCGGAUCCGCUGCCGCCGCAGCUAGCUCGCCUGGCCGCCCCGCGCCGCAUCCACCGCCACCGAAGUCGCCGCCGCUGCACCCACCGCGCUGCCGCACCUCUCGCCCGCUGCCGCCACUGCUCGCCGCCGAACCCGCCGUUCACCGCCUCGCCGGAGUUGCCGGUAAACCCUAGCCCGAUCCCGACCGUCGGAUCUCGAUCCGAUAGCGGUUUAUACGUUCGUUGUUUUUUUCCAAUCCAACGAACGGUUCGUUCGUUAUUGUUUGGUAGAGAACGUUCGUUAAACAGUUUUUUCGUUUUAUUUUAUUUUUGACAGGGACCCGUUUGUGAUUAGUUUAUUUACAGUUUAGUCCCUGAUCUUAAAACGAUCACAACUUUUUGCUCGCUUAUCCAAAUCCAACGAAACCAAUGCCCACUUCUUCGUUAUGAUCCCCUCUAUCCAGUAAAACAACUUGAACAUAUUUUAGAAAGUUUAAAAUUUGGUUUCAAACAAAUUUGAAUUUGAACUUCUUUUGAUCAUACCUAGAGUUCUAUAACUCCGAUUUAAUUCAUUCUUUUUGGAAAUUGAAGCUUUCGACAUAAACUUUCUAAUAAGACAAAAUCCACAUAAUUUUAGUAUUGUUAGAUUUUUUUUCUAUUGCAAGAGUUAAUUGUCUAUUUUCGAAGUUUUCCGAGAUCUUUUCUUCGAUUCUUUUGCAUGAGUGCUUAUGAAUGCAAUUUCAUGCUCACAAUAGAUUGAAUGGAGUGUGACGAGUAGAACUAACAGGAAUUAUGAGUGCGAAGGAUCUUCAUCAACAGUACAAGGCAAGUUCACACUUUGAUCAUAUCCCUUUAUUACCUAGUUUUUAUGCGUUAGUUUCAACCCUCAAACAUUGCAUGAUUAGGGUUUGAUAACAUGAGUACUUGGGAAGUAGUUGUUGAGGUAGGAACCUAUUGUCUUUUAUCAACCCUUGGAUUAUACGUUAUGCUCAUACUGCUUUGAUAUGCUCAUAGACGGGGAUUGGUAUGUGAGAUUCAUGAAAGUUGCGAGAGUAAUGUUAACUAAGGG
rnacentral:lncRNA from 1 species